GUUCGGGCGACCUGCCGAGUGGCCAGGCUACCUCAGUCACCUGUGUGGUCGCAGUGCUGCCAUGGACCUGGGACCCAUGCGCAAGAGUUACCGCGGGGACCGAGAGGCAUUUGAGGAGACUCAUCUGACCUCCCUUGACCCAGUGAAACAGUUUGCUGCCUGGUUUGAGGAGGCUGUUCAGUGUCCUGACAUAGGGGAAGCCAAUGCCAUGUGUCUGGCUACCUGUACCAGAGAUGGAAAACCCUCUGCUCGCAUGUUGCUACUGAAGGGCUUUGGGAAAGAUGGCUUCCGCUUCUUCACUAACUUCGAGAGUCGAAAAGGAAAAGAGCUGGACUCUAAUCCCUUUGCUUCCCUUGUCUUCUACUGGGAGCCGCUUAACCGUCAGGUGAGUGCGUGUGGAAGGCCCUGUGAAGAAGCUGCCCGAGGAGGAGGCUGAGUGCUACUUCCACUCCCGCCCCAAGAGCAGCCAGAUUGGGGCUGUGGUCAGCCACCAGAGUUCUGUGAUCCCUGAUCGGGAG
rnacentral:sRNA from 1 species